rnacentral:sRNA from 2 species
AAAAUAGUUUUCUAGGGUUCCACAGUUUGUAACUGGAUAGGUCCAAGAGAAAACACACAGUUCUCUGUGUACACGGAAGGAUAAAAGCCUGGGAGAU